GGAGUUGGUGAGGUGAGGUUGGCUCGUGGUUUGUCCUAGUCCUCUGAUCUCUCUAAGGCUUUCACCCCUAUGUAUCACUCGUGUUUUUUAUUUAAUGAGACCAUUUAGAAAUUCGUCUACACAUAACAAUACUGUGUUUCAAAUAACGGGGCAUGACCCUUCCACCCUAAGAAUGCCUGGGGACUUGGAGAGGAUGAGUUUGGCUCUGGAAAAGAAGACAAGCAGGAUCCAGAGCUAAUAAAGAAGAGAUAUGGAAUCAUUUGGUAGCAGUUUUGCCAACUCAAGGAAAAAGAAAGUCUUUUGGGAUGUGGUAAGUGUCAGACACCAGAGCUUCCUGGGAGAAAGUCUUACACGUUCACUUUCAAAGGUAAAGAUUCCUGCAGCUGUCCCUCAGGUAAGAUUGGGAAAGAGGACAAAGAUUGGGGUGAGAAAAACAAAAUACAACAGCAGUGUGUACUGGACAGUGCUUCCUGGGGCAACUUCUCUACCAACUUGUCUUCAUUUUGUCCUAAUAAUACAAAUUCCAAUCUGCAAUAAUACCUAAGGGUAAGUGGAAUAACACAGUUUUAUAAUGCGUUAUAUCAGACAACAUAGUACCACACUAAUCAAAAUGUCUUUUUAACAGAUUUGCUGUCCAUAUGUGAUGCUCCUAGAGUUCCUUUGUGAAGACUGGCAUACAGAACACAAAAACACUUUCCCUCCCACUGAGAAUCUAUCUUAUUUUGUCUUCAACUUUCUCAUCCCGUUAUCAGAAAUAGAAACAGAACACUCAGGAGAAGAAACCGCUUCUUAGAACUCCGGGAUUUAAGAAAAACAAAUUGGACCGGAGCUUUUGACAAGACAGCUCCUCAUAUACUAUAUAUAGCAACCAGAAUCAAACGGAAAACUUAUCUUUAUAAACAAGAGAAAAUGCGUCCCCCAACAACUCCAAGUGACAAGAUCUGGUUUGGUUAUUACAAGAGUGCACCGUCAUAUGAAUAAGCGGGCUAGAAGCAUGUCGUGUGACACAGGCCAUCAGGACACAGACACCUUCAGCUGACACUGACAUGCUGUACAGUCUAGCUGUGGAAAACAGCCUUCAUCACAAAGGAUUGGUCUGGUUCAAGGUCCCUGGUCUCUGCUACACCACUGAUGACGCUGGGCCCUCACUGGGACUCUACCCGGACAUCUUUUGCUGCCCUGUGUCAUGGAGAUCCUGCAGCCCUGGGUCCAGAGGACUGGCCCCACCCCCGUGCUCCAGCAGAUGGCAGAUGGGGACAAGGUCACAGAGAGCCCAGACUGCUCAUCAGUUCACUACAGUGGAGUCGUCUGGCACGGCAGCCACUAGCCAUAUGUAGUUACUGAGCAUCUGAGAUGUGCCUAGUAUAAUGGAGACUUGGACUUCCUGCUUCAUUUUAGAG